AAAAACCCACACGAAAACACACACGAGAGAGCAAAAACCUCAAAAUACAGAAGAAAAAACAAUGAAAGCAAAGCAACAAAAGCACAACCUAAGUACUUUACUUCCUUUUACUUUUUGCCCAUCCUCUGUCUUCAACCACUGAGGUUGGUUCUUGCUCUUAAUUACUGUAAAAAUUUCGAUACCUACUUUAGUUUUUCCAUUUUUUCCCCUUCCAAAUCCUUCACAUGUU
rnacentral:misc_RNA from 1 species